AGCCUUCGCUCUCUUUGCUAGGACAAAAAGAAUAAGAAAAUAGAUACUCGUGCUCUUUCCUUUUUCUUCUUUCCUCUGAAACCCAUCCCCAUGCUUCUCCUUACUGACUAGAUAUUCAGGUUGAGCGUGCCGAGGAGUAGAGUAGGCGAAGGUUGCCGCUAUCAUCUCACUGCAGUCCAGCCACUACAGCGGAAAUCAUCACUCAGGUCCAUUGAAUACAACUUGGGACUCCAGAACUUCGAAAGAAGACAUGGAAGAUAUGUGGAUUCAUCCCAAUGUUAAUAAGGAAUGGAUGAAGUCAGGAGAGAAAAAGGGAAAAGUUCGAUUUUCUCAUGACACAGAGAGGAGGCCUUAUCUUUCCCAUGUGGAACUAAGGGCUCCAGGAAUGGUUCAAUGAUGAGGGAACUCCAAAUUCCGCUGCUAGGAAGUCACCAUCUUGGAAUUGAUGAUACCAAAAAUAUUGCAAGAGUGGUACAACACAUGCUUAUAGAUGGUGCUCUUUUGCAAAUUACUGCAAGGAGAUUACGUGGUUCUCCUGAAAAAGUUGAGUUUCUAUUUGAAAAUGGUGGGAGUAUAUUGGCGUCACUUGGUUCCUUUCAGCAAAUGUGGUUUUCAAAAUCUGAGUUUGAGGAACAUGGAGCUUCUAAUGUUCAAAGAAAAUGCCCA